CAAGACCUGCACUUUUGGAGCGGCCGAUGUCUGAUUAGCUAGUUGGUGGGGUAAUGGCCUACCAAAGCUUCGAUCAGUAGCUGGUCUGAGAGGACGGCCAGCCACACUGGGACUGAGACACGGCCCAGACUCCUACGGGAGGCAGCAGUGGGGAAUUUUGGACAAUGGGCGCAAGCCUGAUCCAGCCAUGCCGCGUGAGUGAAGAAGGCCUUCGGGUUGUAAAGCUCUUUCAGCCGGGAAGAAAAGGUUGCGACUAAUAAUCGCAAUUCAUGACGGUACCGAAAGAAGAAGCACCGGCUAACUACGUGCCAGCAGCCGCGGUAAUACGUAGGGUGCGAGCGUUAAUCGGAAUUACUGGGCGUAAAGGGUGCGCAGGCGGUUUUGUAAGUCAGAUGUGAAAUCCCCGGGCUUAACCUGGGAACU
rnacentral:rRNA from 1 species